UGGUUCUGGCAUCGAUGAAGAACGCAGCGAAAUGCGAUAAGUAAUGCGAAUUGCAGAAUUCCAGUGAGUCAUCGAAUCUUUGAACGCACAUUGCGCCCUUUGGCAUUCCGAAGGGCAUGCCUGUUCGAGCGUCAUUAUCACCUCUCAAGCCCCCGGCUUGGUGUUGGACGGUUUGGUCGGGGUAACACCCGACCCCUCCUAAAGACAAUGACGGCGGCCUCGUGGGACCCCCGGUACACUGAGCUUUCCUUAACGGAGCACGUACCGGACUUGAGGGUCUCCAGGCCACGGUCUCUUGAUUCCUGUCGUCACAGACGGGAAGCACCUAUUUUUCAAGGUUGACCUCGGAUCAGGUAGGAAUACCCGCUGA
rnacentral:misc_RNA from 1 species